rnacentral:misc_RNA from 1 species
AUUAAAAUCAUAUAAAUUUAGGUUAGCUUCGUAACUUAAAAUAUGAUUUAACAUGAUAGAAAUCUUUAGGUAUACUUAACUUAGAAAUAAUACAUGUUUAGAUUCACUACAAACAUAAUUGACUUAAAUAAUGUAAACUUAAUAAAAGAUAACAUGCAUGUUAAAAUUAGGUUAUAAUUAUUUUUAAUUGUAAUAUUUGUGAAAAUAGAUUUGUACAUAAUUA